rnacentral:rRNA from 1 species
GACGAACGCUGGCGGCGUGCUUAACACAUGCAAGUCGAACGGAAAGGCCCUGCUUUUGUGGGGUGCUCGAGUGGCGAACGGGUGAGUAACACGUGAGUAACCUGCCCUUGACUUUGGGAUAACUUCAGGAAACUGGGGCUAAUACCGGAUAGGAGCUCCUGCUGCAUGGUGGGGGUCGAAAAGUUUCGGCGGUUGGGGAUGGACUCGCGGCUUAUCAGCUUGUUGGUGGGGUAGUGGCUUACCAAGGCUUUGACGGGUAGCCGGCCUGAGAGGGUGACCGGCCACAUUGGGACUGAGAUACGGCCCAGACUCCUACGGGAGGCAGCAGUGGGGAAUAUUGCACAAUGGGCGGAAGCCUGAUGCAGCAACGCCGCGUGCGGGAUGACGGCCUUCGGGUUGUAAACCGCUUUCGCCUGUGACGAAGCGUGAGUGACGGUAAUGGGUAAAGAAGCACCGGCUAACUACGUG